GGCCUGAUGGCUCAGUGGUUAAAGCGCUAGCUAUAUAUGCUGGAGGUCCUGGGUUUGAUUCUCAGUCAGGUCA
rnacentral:tRNA from 1 species